GCGUAACAGCUCACUGGUCUAAAUAAGGGUUUCUGCGCCGAAAAUGUAACGGGGCUAAAGCCAUACACCGAAGUCGCGGGCUCGCAAGAGCGGUAGCAGAGCGUUCCGCAAGUCAGUGAAGGGAUACCCGCGAGGGAUCCUGGAGAUACCGGAAGUGCGAAUGUUGACAUGAGUAACGAUAAAGGGGGUGAGAGACCCCCUCGCCGAAAGUCCAAGGGUUCCUGCUUAAAGUUAAUCUGAGCAGGGUUAGUCGGCCCCUAAGGCGAGGCCGAAAGGCGUAGUCGAUGGGAAGCAGGUUAAUAUUCCUGCACCCGGAGGUAGUGACGAAUGCCGUAAAUCGUCAUCCCUUAUCGGAUUGGGAUGGCGGUGAUGGUGUUCCGGGAAAUAGCUCCUCCGUACGGACCGUACCCGAAACCGACACAGGUGGACAGGUAGAGUAUACCAAGGCGCUUGAGAGAACUAUGUUGAAGGAACUCGGCAAAUUGCACGCGUAACUUCGGAAGAAGCGUGACCCUUUUGCGGGCAACCGCGGGAGGGUGGCACAGACCAGGGGGUAGCGACUGUUUAUCAAAAACACAGGGCUCUGCGAAGUCGCAAGACGACGUAUAGGGUCUGACGCCUGCCCGGUGCCGGAAGGUUAAAAGGAGAGGUGAGAGCUUUGAAUUGAAGCCCCGGUAAACGGCGGCCGUAACAAUAACGGUCCUAAGGUAGCGAAAUUCCUUGUCGGGUAAGUUCCGACCUGCACGAAUGGCGUAACGACUUCCCCGCUGUCUCCAACAUCGACUCAGCGAAAUUGAAUUGCCUGUCAAGAUGCAGGCUUCCCGCGGUUAGACGGAAAGACCCCGUGCACCUUCACUACAGCUUCGCACUGGCAUCAGGCACAACAUGUGCAGGAUAGGUGGUAGGCUUUGAAGCAGGGACGCCAGUCCCUGUGGAGCCUCCCUUGAGAUACCACCCUUGUUCUGCUUGAUGUCUAACCGCGGCCCGUUAUCCGGGUCCGGGACCGUGCGUGGUGGGUAGUUUGACUGGGGCGGUCGCCUCCUAAAGCGUAACGGAGGCGCGCGAAGGUUGGCUCAGAGCGGUCGGAAAUCGCUCGUUGAGUGCAAUGGCAGAAGCCAGCCUGACUGCAAGACUGACAAGUCGAGCAGAGUCGAAAGACGGCCAUAGUGAUCCGGUGGUCCCAAGUGGGAGGGCCAUCGCUCAACGGAUAAAAGGUACGCCGGGGAUAACAGGCUGAUACUGCCCAAGAGUCCAUAUCGACGGCAGUGUUUGGCACCUCGAUGUCGGCUCGUCUCAUCCUGGGGCUGGAGCAGGUCCCAAGGGUAUGGCUGUUCGCCAUUUAAAGAGGUACGUGAGCUGGGUUUAGAACGUCGUGAGACAGUUCGGUCCCUAUCUGCCGUGGGUGUAGGAAUAUUGAUUGGAUCUGUCCCUAGUACGAGAGGACCGGGAUGGACACACCGCUGGUGGACCUGUUGUCCUGCCAAGGGCAUUGCAGGGUAGCUAUGUGUGGAACGGAUAACCGCUGAAGGCAUCUAAGCGGGAAACCGGCCAAAAAACGAGUAUUCCCUGAGAGUCGUGGAAGACGACCACGUUGAUAGGCUGGGUGUGGAAGUGCGGCAACGCAUGAAGCUUA
rnacentral:rRNA from 14 species